UGGGGAAUAUUGCACAAUGGGGGAAACCCUGAUGCAGCGACGCCGCGUGAGUGAAGAAGUAUUUCGGUAUGUAAAGCUCUAUCAGCAGGGAAGAAAAUGACGGUACCUGAGUAAGAAGCCCCGGCUAACUACGUGCCAGCAGCCGCGGUAAUACGUAGGGGGCAAGCGUUAUCCGGAUUUACUGGGUGUAAAGGGAGCGCAGACGGCUCUGCAAGUCUGAAGUGAAAGCCCGCGGCUUAACCGCGGGACUGCUUUGGAAACUGCAAGGCUUGAGUAUCGGAGGGGCAGGCGGAAUUCCUAGUGUAGCGGUGAAAUGCGUAGAUAUUAGGAAGAACACCGGUGGCGAAGGCGGCCUGCUGGACGAAAACUGACGUUGAGGCUCGAAGGCGUGGGGGGCAAACAGGAUUAGAUACCCUGGUAGUCCACGCGGUAAACGAUGAAUACUAGGUGUUGGUGCCCGAAGGGCAUCGGUGCCGUCGCAAACGCAAUAAGUAUUCCACCUGGGGAGUACGUUCGCAAGAAUG
rnacentral:rRNA from 1 species